GAUGAACGCUAGCGGCAGGCCUAAUACAUGCAAGUCGAACGGUGUCUUCGGACAUAGUGGCGCACGGGUGCGUAACACGUAUGCAACCUACCUUACAUUGGGGGAUAGCCUUUCGAAAGGGAGAUUAAUACCGCAUAAGACAGUAGCUGGGCAUCCAGCAGCUGUUAAAGAUUUAUCGAUGUAAGCUGGGCAUGCGUCCAAUUAGCUAGUUGGUGAGGUAACGGCUCACCAAGGCAAUGAUUGGUAGGGGAACUGAGAGGUCAAUCCCCCACACUGGAACGGAGAUACGGGCCAGACUCCUACGGGAGGCAGCAGUAGGGAAUAUUGGGCAAUGGACGCAAGUCUGACCCAGCCAUGCCGCGUGCAGGAUGAAGGCGUUAUGCGUUGUAAACUGCUUUUAUACAGGAAGAAACGACUCUUGCGAGAGGCAUUGACGGUACUGUAUGAAUAAGCACCGGCUAACUCCGUGCCAGCAGCCGCAGUAACAC
rnacentral:rRNA from 1 species